rnacentral:rRNA from 1 species
AGGAAAAACGCUGGCGGCGUGCAUGAGACAUGCAAGUCAAACGGACGAUCGGGGUUCGCUCUGAUCGUUAGUGGCGGACGGCUGAGUAACGCGUAGGUGACCUGCCCCGAAGUGGGGAAUAACUGCCCGAAAGGGUGGCUAAUACCGCAUGUGGUGGUGCGUUCGAUCGCACCAGUAAAGCCGCAAGGCGCUUCGGGAGGGGCCCGCGUCCGAUUAGCUCGUUGGUGAGGUAACGGCUCACCAAGGCGACGAUCGGUAGGUGGUCUGAGAGGACGAUCACCCAGACUGGGACUGAGACACGGCCCAGACUCCUACGGGAGGCAGCAGUCGGGAAUUUUGCGCAAUGGACGAAAGUCUGACGCAGCAACGCCGCGUGAGGGAUGAAGGCCUUCGGGUUGUAAACCUCUUUUUCCAGGGAAGAUAAUGACGGUACCUGGCGAAUAAGUCACGGCUAACUACGUGCCAGCAGCCGC